AGCGAGAGAGAGGAGCACAGGUCUCACACGCUGCUGCUCUUUAUCACUCUGCCUUUGUUUCUCAGAAGAGCUCUUCAUGGAAGCUGAAAGAUCAGCCAUUAGGCCUCCGACCUGUCAAAGGCAAUUCUGUGAAGUACAGCCAAGCAACCGCCACCAGGAAUUAUGGGAUUUCAGUUUUUCUCAGUAACCUGACAGAGGCAAAUAUUGAUUGCUCAAGAGUUGAACUUCAUUGCAAACAUCACGUCACGAGAGCUCAACAAAAGGCCAAAGUUUUACAUUUGCUGCGCAGACUUUGUGGCAAAAACUGCGGAAAAGUGAAACAAGACGUUUAUUACUGAAAGACCGAUUUAAAUCAGCCAAAACAGCUAAGAAACAAUCACGUGAGGCGGGAGGAGUGUGUGCUUUGGUUGUGUGGAGAUCAGCCCAGUUUUCUGCAUGUGUUGGGACUUGUUUGGUGAAUGUAAAUGGGGCAAAUUCACUAAACAAUGGUAUUUCCUCAUGUAAUUCACUAACCACCUGCAAACAAGUGAAAGCAUGUGCAGGCCGUGCCGUCACAGCGGUAAACCUUCAGCAUUCACAGUUCUGGAGUGGACUCUCAUUCUGACGGCACCCAUUCACUGCAGAGCAUCCAUUGCUGAGACACUGAUGCAGAGACACAUUUCUACAAACCUGAUCUCGCACGGCCUGAAGGGGAGCACAUUUUCAGCCUUUUUUUUUAUUUUAUUUUUUUUAUCAUUUUUGCCUGAGUUUCUCCUGUAAGGCCAGGGGUGUGUAUUUAUGAAGUAAAUAAGGUGCAUUCUGAUUCCAGUCGGUCUGCUGUUACAGAGAUGCACAAACCACAGGAACGGUUUCCUUUUACAGCCUCACUUAAAAGCUCAAUGCCAUUGAUCUGCAUGAAAGUGAGCUCAGGUGGGCAUGGGGUCCAGAGACGGCAGCGGUUCGGUGCCCUCGCUGAUCUCAACUGUCACGGAAUGGAACGCACAGGAUUGUGGGAUAUCAAAGGCAGCGAAGGAUACAUCUAUGCUGCCUUCAAAAAUCGAUCAGAUGAAGGUAUCUCAUGAGACAGGAAGUGAAGCUAACUUUGGAUUCGGACGUGCCUUGAUGCCUUCCUACCUUGGAAUGUGUCCUCCGAAGGCAGCAUUUUUCGGUUUUCGGAUGCAGCCCUGGAGAGCCGCAGCCCUGCAGAGUUUUGCUUCAACCCUAAUCACACCUGAACAAGCCAAUCAAGAUCUGAACGGUUACUAAGAAGCUACAGGCAGGUGAGUUUUAAUUAGGGUUGGAGCUGAACUCUGCAGGGCUGCGGCUCUCCAGAACCGGAGUUUGCCACCCCUGGUCUAUAGUCAAAUCUGUCGACUUUGGCAAUCUUUGUUGCAUUAUAUGCCCAUGGUGACUAUUCAAUAACAGGAAAAAGCACUUUUCUCUGUAACCCAAGAAGUAUUAAGGACAUCUUAAUGCCCUUUUAGAUUUUAGUUCUUAACAAACUUUCCUUUUGGCAUCUUUACUUUUAGCCUAAAACAGCCAGUGAUGUAGAAUCCAUAGGCGGGGCUAAACAGACAGUGAUGUAGAAUCGAUAGGCGGGGCUAAACAGGCAGUGACGUAGAAUCGGUGGGCGGGGCUAAACAGGCAGUGACGUAGAAUCGGUGGGCGGGGCUAAACAGACAGUGAUGUAGAAUUGAUAGGAGGGGCUAAACAGGCAGUGACAUAGAAUCGUUGGGCGGGGCUAAACAGGCAGUGAUGUAGAAGCAGGCGUUGAUCAUCUUCUGUGGGGGCGGUGUUUAGCCACACUAUUACAUCAUAGAGUUCAUCAUUCCAAAAGCUGUGGUUUUGGUGGGCUGCCUUCAAUAUAAGCUGUUUUUAGACAAAUGACAAAGUUUUAAAUUCUGAAACUUGAGUUCUGAAAGCAGGAUGUUUUUUAAAGUACACUGUCCUCUUAUAUGUCAAAAGAUCAAAGGAAUUUUGGUUCUCAGUUCAUGAUCCCUUUAAAAGCAAAGUAGGACCAUCUGUAUGCAAAGUGACAAACAUUUGGGUUUUGAUCAUUGAAAAUGUGUACAAUUUAACAGUUUACUCCUGGACCCAUACUAAGAUUCCAAUUUUGCAGGAAUCGAACCAUAGAUAGCCUUAAAAAUGAAGAUGCCAAAAAGAAAGUUUCAGACCCA